rnacentral:lncRNA from 1 species
UCGCAGCUCCUCACCGGGGCAUCGGGGCCCCUCCUCCGAACAUGCCCGAACCACCUCAGCCUCGCUUCCCGCAUCUUCUCGUCCACCGGGGCCACCCUUACCUUCUGACGAAUAACUUCAUUCUUGAUCUUAUCCAGCCUGGUGUGCAUCCACCUAAGCAUCCUCAUCUCCACAACCUUCAUUCACUGAACAUGCGAGUUCUUCACGGGCCAGCACUCCGCCCCAUACAACAUCGCAGGUCUAACCACGGGUCUGUAGAAUUUUCCCUUGAGUUUGUGUG